GCCAGACUCCUACGGGAGGCAGCAGUGGGGAAUAUUGCACAAUGGGGGAAACCCUGAUGCAGCGACGCCGCGUGAGUGAAGAAGUAUUUCGGUAUGUAAAGCUCUAUCAGCAGGGAAGAAAAUGACGGUACCUGAUUAAGAAGCCCCGGCUAACUACGUGCCAGCAGCCGCGGUAAUACGUAGGGGGCAAGCGUUAUCCGGAUUUACUGGGUGUAAAGGGAGCGUAGACGGUGAUGCAAGUCAGAAGUGAAAGCCCGGGGCUCAACUCCGGGACUGCUUUUGAAACUGUGUGACUGGAGUGCAGGAGAGGUAAGCGGAAUUCCUGGUGUAGCGGUGAAAUGCGUAGAUAUCAGGAGGAACACCAGUGGCGAAGGCGGCUUACUGGACUGUAACUGACGUUGAGGCUCGAAAGCGUGGGGAGCAAACAGGAUUAGAUACCCUUGUACC
rnacentral:rRNA from 1 species